AACACUUUUGCCCCCACCAGCUGUAGAUAUGAACUCAGGUGCUCCGUGAGGGUUAGCAGUUUCUGUUCCAAUAGAGAAUAUUUGGUAACCACCACUAAUGCCCCCACCAGCUGUAGAUAUGAACUCAGGUGCUCCGAGAGGGUUAGCAGUUUCUGUUCCAAUAGAGAAUAUUUGGUUAUCAACACUAAUGCCCCCACCAGCUGUAGAUAUGAACUCAGGUUCUCCGUAAGGGUUAGCAGACUCUGUUCCAAAAGAAAAUAUUUGGUAACCAUCACUAAUGCCCCCACCAACUGUAGAUAUGAACUCAGGUGCUCCGUGAGGGUUAGCAGUUUCUGUUCCAACAGGGAAUAUGUGUUUACCCACACUAAUGCCCC
rnacentral:lncRNA from 1 species